rnacentral:rRNA from 1 species
GACGAACGCUGGCGGCGCGCCUCAUACAUGCAAGUCGAGCGAGAACCAGGGCUUGCCCUGGGGACAGCGGCGAACGGGUGCGUACCACGUGAGCAACCUGCCCCGAAGACCGGGAUAACUCGAGGAAACUCUGGCUAAUACCGGAUGUCCUCGGUGGACCGCAUGGUCCGGCGAGGCACUGGAUUCCGCUUCGGGAUGGGCUCGCGGCCUAUCAGCUUGUUGGUGGGGGAACGGCCUACCAAGGCGACGACGGGUAGAUGGUCUGGGAGGACGAUCAGCCACACUGGGACUGAGACACGGACCAGACUCCUACGGGAGGCAGCAGUAGGGAAUCUUGCGCAAUGGGGGAAAGCCUGACGCAGCGACGCCGCGUGCGGUAUGAAGGCCUUCGGGUCGUAAACCGCUUUCAGCAGGGACGAAAUUGACGGUACCUGCAGAAGAAGGCCCGGCCAACUACGUGCCAGCAGCCGCAGUAA